GAAUUGCUCGCGCGCGGGGGCGUGGCGUGCGGGAAGGGGGCGUGUCUUUAGUUGGUUACCGGGCCGGGAAAGGUUAGGGACCGUGGGGCUGCCUGAAGGGUUUCGCUCGCUCACGUUCGCGGAUCGCGGUGAGCUUGUUCGGUUCGGUCGGGGAGUGCAUCUGAGUGUGCAGUGCAUGGUUCGAGUCUCUCUCCAUUUUCUGCAGUGAACCAUGAGCACACCUCACGGUGAUCUUGGAAGUCUCCAAAAGGAAGAUGGGGCCCCCAAUGACGAUCCCUCUAAGACUGAGAUAACACCACUAAGCUGAAAAACACAACCUAAAGAUUGAUUUUGGACUACAAACUGCUCAGAACAAUCUCGAGGUGGCUAGCUGAGAUGAUCCAGCCUAACAGACUACACUAGCCAGGAUCCGAGACAAGCCCUACAGUUUUACAUUAUGUAGAGACUGGACCACAAAUGAUACAGCUACCUCUCCCAGGACUUGUAAAUGAACCCCAAUUUUUCUUUUCAGAAUCUCUUAAAGGUGCUGUCACCCUCAGGCAAUAGGAAGUAAUUUUAAGAAUAUGAUGCCACAUUCCAAAGAGGUGGGGUGGAUGAUUUUUGGUCAUUCAAUAAGUUAUCGACAUUUGUCAUUGUUUAGGUGGACAAGUUGUUACUGGUAAUGGUCAGGAAAAAAGCUAAAAAAAGGUAGUUAGAUUCAAGGUUCUUGUUUUGAGAAGAAAAAAGUGAAGAUAUAUAUAUAUAUAUGAUAAAAUAAAAAGGUAGAUUAUCAAAUCUACUUUUAAAAAGCUACUACUAGCUUUAAAAGUUUUACAUUGGAUUGGAUUUUUGUAUAUUGCAUACAAAUUUUGUAUAUUAAUACAAAUUUGAGAUUAAUUUUGUCAGAACAUUUCCACUACAUUUCCACUCUUUUUCAAGGUAUUUUACCUAUACAAUUUACAUUUAUGAUAUAAUGUAAAUAUAAAUUUACAAUAUAAAUGAUUGGCCCAUUAGCUCUGGCUUCUUAUUAACUCUUAUAACUUAUAAAUUUAUAUAAGUUUAUAUAACUUAUAAAAGUUUAUAUAGCUUAUAAACUUAUAAAUUUAUAUACAUUUACCAAUGUAAUACAAAUUUAUGGUCCUUGAAAAUUAUUAUUACCAACUGCUUAGGAUAAUAGGGAAAUACAGGAUAGUAGUUAAUCACCUGUUAUAAACAAACUUAUAAUCACAUUAGGUAUGUUUUCUAGGUCAAAUAAAGAUAUAUUUUAGAUAGACAGGUCAUCUUCAAACACUUCAGAGAUCUACAGAAUAUAGCAUUUAAGAUGUUUUUAUAGCAUAGGUUAUUUUUUCUUUUUUUUUAUGACAAUGAAGCAUGUCUGCUCCCAGCAGCACCAACCUACUCCAGAGAAGAUGAUGAGCAUUGAAGAAACGCCACAGGGAGUUUACUUUCUUCAUGGCAAAAGUAAGCCACUGGGCAACAAAAUGCCCUUUCCUCAACUCGUGACAAUAUGCUGUCCUAAUGGGACAAGAAGGACACAGAAGACAGUGACUGCCAAACCUUGCCGAGACAAGGCAGGUACAGUCCUUCAAAAACUCUGCCUCAUAGAAAAGUCUGUCAGAUAUUCUAGGCCUGUAGGCCAAAGAUGGAUGCCCUAACAUUGUAGAGGAACAUUGGGUGACUGUCCAGACAGCCAUCUGUUUCUGUCAUUUCUCACAUUUUUUUGAAGACCCUUGCUUACACUUCAUACUUACUCAGUUAAUAUUAUUUCUUCGUUGGGUCUCCGAGAUAGUUAAAGACUAGACAGUUAUAUCUUUCACUGUUUACAAGACUCAGGAAAGAAAUAUAAAGUAUAUAAGAUUGAGAGAUAUCAAAAGAUAGUUUUAAAUAGCAGUGCAAGUUAUGAUAGGAAGUAAAUUAGGCACAAGACUUUGAGCUUGCCAAGAGAGAAUGGAUAUGGAGUAUUUUCCCUGAAUUUGUCAAAGGCAAAGGGACUAGACAUUGUUGAUGUAUUUACUGCCUGUAUAUAUUGCAUAUGGUAUUGUACUUAGUAUAUAAAGUUUUUCUUAUAUCAGUUAUAGCCUUUUUUAUUUUAGACAACAAGGGGAAGUGUAGUGAUAUUUCAUUUGUAUUUUAAUAAAUAAAGCUUGCCUGAAGGUCAGAGAGUAAAACAGCCACACUGGUCAGCCUCACAGACCAGGCAGUCUGGUGACACACACCUUUAAUCCCACUAGCCACACUAGUUGCUAUAAAAAAAAAAAAAAAAAAAACCAGGUGGUAGUGGUAA